rnacentral:rRNA from 1 species
GGGAUCUUAAUAGGUCAUCCGGGUGUUGGAUAUCCCGGUUUAGUUGGAAGUAGGCGAUGGGUAGGCAAAUCCGCCCGUCAUAUACCGAGGCCAACGAUCGAGCCAGCUUGCUGGUGAAGUGACUGAACGAGGUUCCAGGAAAAGCCACUAAGCUUCAGCUAUACACGACCGUACCGCAAACCGACACUGGUGCGCGAGAUGAGUAUUCUAAGGCGCUUGAGAGAACUCAGGAGAAGGAACUCGGCAAAUUGACACCGUAACUUCGGAAGAAGGUGUGCCCUAUUAGUGUGAAGUGAACAACGGAGCAUGAAUGGGUUGCAAAAAAUCGGUGGCUGCGACUGUUUAUUAAAAACACAGCACUCUGCAAACACGAAAGUGGACGUAUAGGGUGUGACGCCUGCCCGGUGCUGGAAGAUUAAAUGAUGGGGUGCAAGCUCUUGAUUGAAGUCCCAGUAAACGGCGGCCGUAACAAUAACGGUCCUAAGGUAGCGAAAUUCCUUGUCGGGUAAGUUCCGACCUGCACGAAUGGCGUAACGAUGGCCACACUGUCUCCUCCUGAGACUCAGCGAAGUUGAAAUGUUUGUGAUGAUGCAAUCUCCCCGCGGAAAGACGGAAAGACCCCAUGAACCUUUACUGUAGCUUUGUAUUGGACUUUGAACAGAUCUGUGUAGGAUAGGUGGGAGGCUUUGAAGCAGGGUCGCUAGAUCUUGUGGAGCCAACGUUGAAAUACCACCCUGGUGUGUUUGAGGUUCUAACCUAGGUCCAUUAUCUGGAUCGGGGACAGUGCAUGGUAGGCAGUUUGACUGGGGCGGUCUCCUCCCAAAGCGUAACGGAGGAGUUCGAAGGUACGCUAGUUACGGUCGGACAUCGUGACGAUAGUGCAAUGGCAUAAGCGUGCUUAACUGCGAGACUGACAAGUCGAGCAGAUGCGAAAGCAGGACAUAGUGAUCCGGUGGUUCUGUAUGGAAGGGCCAUCGCUCAACGGAUAAAAGGUACUCUGGGGAUAACAGGCUGAUACCGCCCAAGAGUUCAUAUCGACGGCGGUGUUUGGCACCUCGAUGUCGGCUCAUCUCAUCCUGGGGCUGUAGCCGGUCCCAAGGGUAUGGCUGUUCGCCAUUUAAAGAGGUACGUGAGCUGGGUUUAAAACGUCGUGAGACAGUUUGGUCCCUAUCUUCCGUGGGCGCUGCAGAUUUGAGGAAGCCUGCUCCUAGUACGAGAGGACCGGAGUGGACACACCUCUGGUGUAUCGGUUGUCACGCCAGUGGCAUUGCCGAGUAGCUAAGUGUGGAAGAGAUAACCGCUGAAAGCAUCUAAGCGGGAAACUCGUUUCAAGAUGAGAUCUGCCGGGGCCUUGAGCCCCCUGAAGAGUCGUUCAAGACCAGGACGUUGAUAGGUCAGGUGUGGAAGCGCAGUAAUGCGUUAAGCUAACUGAUACUAAUUGCUCGUGCGGCUUGACCCG